UACGUAGGGUGCAAGCGUUGUCCGGAAUUAUUGGGCGUAAAGAGCUCGUAGGCGGUCUGUCGCGUCUGCUGUGAAAACCUAGGGCUUAACUCUGGGCGUGCAGUGGGUACGGGCAGGCUAGAGUGCGGUAGGGGAGACUGGAAUUCCUGGUGUAGCGGUGAAAUGCGUAGAUAUCAGGAGGAACACCGGUGGUGUAAACGGCUUUC
rnacentral:rRNA from 1 species